rnacentral:rRNA from 1 species
UACGGGGGGGGCAAGCGUUGUUCGGAAUUACUGGGCGUAAAGGGCUCGUAGGCGGCCAACUAAGCCAGACGUGAAAUCCCUCGGCUUAACCGGGGAACUGCCUCUGAUACUGGAUGGCUUGAGAUUGGGAGAGGGAUGCGGAAUUCCAGGUGUAGCGGUGAAAUGCGUAGAUAUCUGGAGGAACACCGGUGGCGAAGGCGGCAUCCUGGACCAACACUGACGCUGAGGAGCGAAAGCCAGGGGAGCAAACGGG